rnacentral:rRNA from 1 species
UACGUAGGGGGCAAGCGUUGUCCGGAUUUAUUGGGCGUAAAGAGCGUGUAGGCGGUUUGGUAGGUCCGCUGUGAAAACUCGAGGCUCAACCUCGAGACGCCGGUGGAAACCAUCAGACUAGAGUCCGGAAGAGGAGAGUGGAAUUCCUGGUGUAGCGGUGAAAUGCGCAGAUAUCAGGAAGAACACCAAUGGCGAAGGCAGCUCUCUGGGACGGUACUGACACUGAGACGCGAAAGCGUGGGGAGCGAACAGG